rnacentral:rRNA from 1 species
ACGAACGCUGGCGGCGUGCUUAACACAUGCAAGUCGAACGGAAAGGCCCUGCUUUUGUGGGGUGCUCGAGUGGCGAACGGGUGAGUAACACGUGAGUAACCUGCCCUUGACUUUGGGAUAACUUCAGGAAACUGGGGCUAAUACCGGAUAGGAGCUCCUGCUGCAUGGUGGGGGUUGGAAAGUUUCGGCGGUUGGGGAUGGACUCGCGGCUUAUCAGCUUGUUGGUGGGGUAGUGGCUUACCAAGGCUUUGACGGGUAGCCGGCCUGAGAGGGUGGCCGGCCUCAAUGGGACGAAGAACGGCCGCAGGCUGCAAGGGGGCGCGGCGGGGGGGAGUAUGAAGGAGGGGGCGGGAGCGGGAGGCGGCAGGCCGCGGAGCGGAAAGCGGGGGUUUGUGUUGAGAACCAAUUUCGCAGGGGAGAGGGGGGGCGGGACGGUAGGGAAUAAGAAAGCCCCGGCUAACUACGUG